rnacentral:rRNA from 1 species
GACGAACGCUGGCGGCGUGCUUAACACAUGCAAGUCGAACGGAAAGGCCCUGCUUUUGUGGGGUGCUCGAGUGGCGAACGGGUGAGUAACACGUGAGUAACCUGCCCUUGACUUUGGGAUAACUUCAGGAAACUGGGGCUAAUACCGGAUAGGAGCUCCUGCUGCAUGGUGGGGGUUGGAAAGUUUCGGCGGUUGGGGAUGGACUCGCGGCUUAUCAGCUUGUUGGUGGGGUAGUGGCUUACCAAGGCUUUGACGGGUAGCCGGCCUGAGAGGGUGACCGGCCCCAUUGGGACUGAGAUACGGCCCAGACUCCUACGGGAGGCAGGAGUGGGGAAUAUUGCAACAUGGGCGGAAGCCUGAUGCAGGAACGCCGCGUGCGGGAUGACGGCCCUCGGGUUGUAAACCGCUUUCGCCUGUGACGAAGCGUGAGUGACGGUAAUGGGUAAAGAAGCACCGGCUAACUACGUG